rnacentral:tRNA from 1 species
AGCAGUGUGGCUCUUUGGAAAGAGCACAGGCUCGGGAGUCAGAGGUCAUGGGUUCAAAUCCCAACUCUGCCA